UACGUAGGGAGCAAGCGUUGUCCGGAAUCAUUGGGCGUAAAGCGCGCGUAGGUGGCCUCAUAAGUCCGCUGUGAAAGUCAAAGGCUCAACCUUUGAAAGCCGGUGGAUACGGGCAGACUAGAGUGCGGUAGGGGAGACUGGAAUUCCUGGUGUAGCGGUGAAAUGCGCAGAUAUCAGGAGGAACACCGGUGGCGAAGGCGGGUCUCUGGGCCGUAACUGACGCUGAGGAGCGAAAGCGUGGGGAGCGAACAGG
rnacentral:rRNA from 1 species